GCAAGUGUAGUGUAGUGGUUAUCACAUCUGCCUCACACGCAGAAGGUCGUGGGUUCAAUCCCCACCACUUGUA
rnacentral:tRNA from 1 species